rnacentral:lncRNA from 1 species
UGCUGGAGAGCGGUCGACGUGUGGACUAAUAGUAGUAGAUGCAGAAAGUAUCGGUCUACUUGUUUUGGACAUGAUGCCUAUAGAUAUAAUCAUUGCCUUAGAUAACGUCACGACUUUGUGCGGUUCUGUCAAUUGUUCGACAGUAAUUCGUUCACCCACCGUCUACUUGCUUUCAUGAGAGAAGCCACUAGUGAACACUACGGCCC